rnacentral:rRNA from 1 species
CGGGGGUGCUAUACAUGCAGUCGAGCGAAUGGAUUAAGAGCUUGCUCUUAUGAAGUUAGCGGCGGACGGGUGAGUAACACGUGGGUAACCUGCCCAUAAGACUGGGAUAACUCCGGGAAACCGGGGCUAAUACCGGAUAACAUUUUGAACCGCAUGGUUCGAAAUUGAAAGGCGGCUUCGGCUGUCACUUAUGGAUGGACCCGCGUCGCAUUAGCUAGUUGGUGAGGUAACGGCUCACCAAGGCAACGAUGCGUAGCCGACCUGAGAGGGUGAUCGGCCACACUGGGACUGAGACACGGCCCAGACUCCUACGGGAGGCAGCAGUAGGGAAUCUUCCGCAAUGGACGAAAGUCUGACGGAGCAACGCCGCGUGAGUGAUGAAGGCUUUCGGGUCGUAAAACUCUGUUGUUAGGGAAGAACAAGUGCUAGUUGAAUAAGCUGGCACCUUGACGGUACCUAACCAGAAAGCCACGGCUAACUACGUGCCAGCAGCCGGGGGUAAUGCA